CUGGGGUUGGGUGUGUAUGUGCAGAGGAUGGAACCAGGCUCCACCCACUUGCCUUCGGGACCUGCUCAGGCUGGAGCUCUGAGUGCCGGCGAGACAGAGCACCUGCACAGGAGGGGAACUUCAUCUUCGGAGGUGGGUUUUCCUAGGGAACCUUGUCAGCUGUGCUGCUGGGAUUAUUUCCUCAUGGAUACAGCGUCCCGCAAGGAAAGCUGCAGCUGGCGCCGAGGCGGGACCACGCCGGGAGGCUGACCCGGGCUCCGUCCAAACACAAGUCUGGGGUGGAUGGCUGGGAACUGUCUCUGCGGGCGGCCGUCCACGGCUCGGCUCGGGCUGCGUGCUUAUGUCGUGUUGCGUGCUGGGGUGUAAGUGUGUGAGUGUGAGUGUGUGUCCCCAGCCCUCUGGUGUCCCCACCCCCACCCAUGCCC